CAGAGACCCGGAAGAAACGUUUCUUCCAGACUUCCGUGGUAUCCAUGCAUUGCUACCCAGUCCCCUUGCCUAGGAACAACCUGAGCUGAUGGACCUUGACCACUGUCCUUGGUCUGCUUCAAGCCCUUCCCUUGGGAAGUCUUCUCUCUGGACUCCAGGUCAUUAGCACCACCAGCUGGGGAUUGAGCCUUCAACACACCCAAACCAUGAUAUAUGCUAAGUCCUCUCCAGAGAUCUGACAUGCUCUGGGAAGCAAGUCUGAAUGGAACUGAAAGCACACCAGGCAUUCUGGGUGACAAUUGGAAUCAGGACUGUCUCGUCUCCACUCCACCCAUCCAAGCUAUGUCAACAUUACACUUCAUCUGUACCCUUCAACUGAUGGCCGUGGUCUAGACACCUGGACAGUGACUGACAUGGCUGGCUGCUUACUGGACAGAGUCUGUCUCCUUUGGAGAGAUGAUGCUCUCCGUGUUUGGAGAUCACUAGAUGCUGAGAGGUGAAGCUGGACGUACCACUAGGGCUCCAUGUCCAUCUUGGCCAUCCAACAUGACCCUUGCCAUAAAUAGCCACC